AGAGUUUGAUCGUGGCUCAGAUUGAACGCUGGCGGCAUGCCUUACACAUGCAAGUCGAACGGUAACAGGUUAAGCUGACGAGUGGCGAACGGGUGAGUAAUAUAUCGGAACGUGCCCAGUCGUGGGGGAUAACUACUCGAAAGAGUAGCUAAUACCGCAUACGACCUGAGGGUGAAAGCGGGGGAUCGCAAGACCUCGCGCGAUUGGAGCGGCCGAUAUCAGAUUAGGUAGUUGGUGGGGUAAAAGCUCACCAAGCCAACGAUCUGUAGCUGGUCUGAGAGGACGACCAGCCACACUGGGACUGAGACACGGCCCAGACACCUACGGGAGGCAGCAGUGGGGAAUUUUGGACAAUGGGCGCAAGCCUGAUCCAGCCAUGCCGCGUGCGGGAAGAAGGCCUUCGGGUUGUAAACCGCUUUUGUCAGGGAAGAAAAGGUUCUGGCUAAUACCCGGGACUCAUGACGGUACCUAAGAU
rnacentral:rRNA from 1 species